GUGAUUUUGAUAUGCUGCUAAGGUUUGAUAAGAGAAAUGAGAUUCAGAGAACAGAUUAUAUUGUUGAAGAGCUUGACUGGAAAUGAUCCAAACGGAAACAUUGGCUCUUCCUGGGGUUCCAGCCUGCUGUCUUGACAGGAACUAUACCAUCAGCUCUCCUGGGUCUCUUACAUGCCAAGUCAUCCUGCAGAUCUGGGACUCACUCCGUAAUCAGCUUGAUUGCUGUAAGUUGAACACGUCAGUGGCAUGGGCACCAGCUGCACAACCCUAGGAGCCACCAAACACAGUAUAUUCUAUAUAAAUGUUGCUGCCAGGAGCCCCAGUUCAAACUACAAUAUGGAGUUUUGCUCUUUUUUGCCCAGGCUGGAGUGCGAUGGCACAAUCUUGGCUCACUGCAACCUCCACCUCUUGGGUUCAAGCAAUGCUUCUGCCUCAGCCUCCCAAGUAGCUGGGAUUACAG
rnacentral:lncRNA from 1 species